CACGUAGGGUGCGAGCGUUGUCCGGAAUUAUUGGGCGUAAAGAGCUCGUAGGCGGUGUGUCGCGUCGGCCGUGAAAACCUGCAGCUUAACUGUGGGCGCGCGGUCGAUACGGGCAUCACUGGAGUUCGGCAGGGGAGACUGGAAUUCCUGGUGUAGCGGUGAAAUGCGCAGAUAUCAGGAGGAACACCGGUGGCGAAGGCGGGUCUCUGGGCCGAUACUGACGCUGAGGAGCGAAAGCGUGGGGAGCAAACAGG
rnacentral:rRNA from 1 species